ACUCAAAUGAAUAGACGGGGGCCCGCACAAGCGGUGGAGCAUGUGGUUUAAUUCGAUGCAACGCGAAGAACCUUACCUACCCUUGACAUCCUGCGAAUUUAGCUGAGAGGCUGAAGUGCCGCAAGGAACGCAGAGACAGGUGCUGCAUGGCUGUCGUCAGCUCGUGUUGUGAGAUGUUGGGUUAAGUCCCGUAACGAGCGCAACCCUUGUCCUUAGUUGCCAUCAUUUAGUUGGGGACUCUAAGGAGACUGCCGGUGAUGAACCGGAGGAAGGCGGGGACGACGUCAAGUCAUCAUGGCCUUUAUGGGUAGGGCUACACACGUGCUACAAUGGGACGUACAGAGAGUCGCGAACCUGCGAAGGGGAGCCAAUCUCGCAAAGCGUCUCGUAGUCCGGAUUGGAGUCUGCAACUCGACUCCAUGAAGUUGGAAUCGCUAGUAAUCGCGAAUCAGCAUUGUCGCGGUGAAUACGUUCCCGGGCCUUGCACACACCGCCCGU
rnacentral:rRNA from 1 species